rnacentral:rRNA from 1 species
UACAGAGGUCUCAAGCGUUGUUCGGAUUCAUUGGGCGUAAAGGGUGCGUAGGCGGCGCGGUAAGUCGGGUGUGAAAUCUCGGAGCUUAACUUCGAAACUGCAUUCGAUACUGCCGUGCUUGAGGACUGGAGAGGAGACUGGAAUUUACGGUGUAGCGGUGAAAUGCGUAGAUAUCAAGUGGAACACCAGUGGCGAAGGCGAGUCCCUGGACAAUACCUGACACUGAGGCACGAAAGCUAGGGGAGCAAACAGG